UUAUCAUACCCUAUAGCACACCCUUUAUCACACCCCUACCCAUUAUCGCACCCUUUAUCACACACCUACUUUUUUUUUAUACAUAGUUUUUAUUUAUGUAAGCUUCAAAUAUUUUCCCCCAGAGUAUGUCCAAAAUGAACGGUCAUUCGGGCGUGAUGCAAUUUAUUGAAUGACGUCAUUGUAUGGAAUGUGACAUCACAAACGUCAAGUUUUCAUAUUUCUGACAAACGAAAUGCAGCUAUAAAAAAAAACUCAAUGAAAUACCAUAUAAAACACACAAAAAAUACAAUAAACAAAAUAUCCUUAAAAACUAUGUAAUUGUUUUCACUUGAGUGGUCUCAGAUGCUGAAUAAUGCAUUUAUAAUAUAUAAACAAAACCAAUAAAUAAAACUG
rnacentral:lncRNA from 1 species